GCUGCGCGGUGACGCCACGCGGCCGCGCGCGCUGAUUGGUCGGAUUUGAACUGAACGGGCGCGCGGCCGCCGGGUGAGGCAGCGCGGAGCUCGGACCCUGAGGUGGCCGUCCCCGCACCGCGACCCCCGCACCAUGAAGGCGGCUAGGGCCAAGACCCCGCGGAGGCCGGCGCUGAAGAAGCCGUCGCCCCCCGGUCCGAAGGAUCCCGUGGGGGUGUACUGCAGGGUGCGGCCGCUGAGCCGCCCGGACCAGGAGUGCUGCAUCGAAGUGAUCAGCGAGAACACGGUGCAGAUCCAUCCGCCCGACGGAUACAGGAUAUUCCGAAACGGGGAAUACCGGGAGACUCAGUAUUCCUUUAAAGAAGUGUUUGGUACCCUUGUUGCUCAAAAGGAGCUUUUUGACGUCGUGGCUAAACCUCUAGUGGAAGAUCUCAUUCGUGGGAAAAACGGUCUCCUUUUUACAUAUGGGGUGACAGGCAGUGGGAAAACCCACACUAUGACGGGAUCUCCUGGUGAUGGAGGACUUCUCCCACGGUGUUUGGAUAUGAUCUUCAACAGCAUAGGACCAUUCCAGGCCAAAAGAUUUGUUUUUAAGCUUGAUGACAAGAAUGGUGUGGAUGUUCAGUGUGAAGUAGAUGCUCUGUUAGAGCGACAAAAAAGAGAUGCCAUGCCUGUUCCCAAAACUCCUUCUGGCAAGCGACAGAUCGAUCCAGAGUUUGCUGAUAUGAUCAACGUGCAAGAUCACUGCAAAGUGGAAGAAGUUGAUGAAGAUAAUGUCUACAGUGUCUUCGUCUCCUACAUCGAGAUCUACAACAACUACAUUUAUGACCUCCUGGAGGAGACUCCAUUUGAGCUGAUAAAACCAAAGUGGAACAAUUGCAACACUCCUGUGCGAAACGGUGACUUUAUACCUCCACAGUCCAAAAUACUUCGUGAGGACCAGAAUCACAACAUGUAUGUCACGGGUUGCACAGAAGUAGAGGUGAAAUCUACAGAAGAAGCUUUUGAAGUCUUUUGGAAAGGGCAGAAGAAGAGGCGUAUUGCAAACACUCAGCUGAAUCGAGAAUCUAGUCGGUCUCAUGGUGUCUUCAUGAUAAAGUUGGCUCAGGCACCUCUGGAUGCAGAUGGAGAUAAUGUGCUGCAGGAGAAGGAACAGAUCACUUUAAGCCAGCUCUCCUUAGUUGAUCUAGCUGGAAGUGAAAGGACCAAUAGAACAAAAGCUGAAGGGAACAGGUUGCGAGAAGCAGGUAAUAUUAAUCAGUCAUUAAUGACAUUGAGAACAUGUAUUGAAGUUCUACGGGAAAACCAGAUGUAUGGGACAAAUAAGAUGGUUCCAUACAGAGAUUCCAAACUGACUCACCUCUUCAAGAACUAUUUUGAUGGUGAAGGAAAAGUGCGUAUGAUUGUGUGUGUUAAUCCUAAAGCUGAGGACUACGAGGAAAGCUUGCAAGUCAUGCGUUUUGCAGAGAUGACCCAGGAGGUUGAAGUUGCAAGGCCUGUAGACAGACCUCUGUGUGGCUUAACGCCGGGGCGGCGCUUUAGGAAUCAGGCCUUCAGGGAGGAGCUGGCCCGCAAACUGGAGAUCCGAGGUGGCCCAAUUAAUGGAGAAACAGAAGAGCAAUCUGCUUCAGAAAUAUUUCUGCAGAACUUUCCUCCUCUGCCUUCGUGUGAGCUAUUGGAUAUUAAUGAUGAUCAGACGCUUCCAAAGCUUACUGAAGUCCUGGAGCAACGCCAUAAACUACGACAAAAGUUGUCAGAGGAGUUUGCCAAAAAUGUGCUUACAUUUAAAACUGUGCUGCGAGAACUUGAUUCCAGCGUUACGUCCAAAGAAAACUAUAUUCAAGGAAAACUGUCUGAAAAAGAGAAAAUAAUAACAGGACAGAAAACGGAGUUAGAACGCCUGGAGAAGAAAAUCAAAACUUUGGAAUACAAGAUUGAGAUUUUAGAGAAAACUGCUACAAUUUAUGAAGAAGAUAAGCGUAAUCUUCAGCAAGAACUAGAAAGCAAGAGCCAGAAACUGCAACGUCAGGCUUCUGACAAGCGUAGGUUGGAGGCACGCCUGCAAGGCAUGGUUGCUGAAACAACCAUGAAAUGGGAGAAGGAGUGUGAGCGUCGUGUAGCAGCAAAGCAGCUGGAAAUGCAGAACAAACUUUGGGUCAAAGAUGAAAAACUGAAGCAGCUGAAGGCCAUUGUUACUGAACCAAAGAAUGAAAAGCCAGAGAGGCCUUCCCGGGAGAGAGACAGAGAGAAGCCUAUUCAGAGAUCAGUGUCUCCUCCACCAGUACCUCCUUCUAGUAACUUUAUUACUCAGGUCCCUAACAGCCAGCGGCUCGUGAGCAACCAGCAGGUGCACAGACGUUCUAAUUCUUGUAGCAGCAUUUCUGUGGCUUCCUGUGUUAUGGAAUGGGAGCAGAAAACCCCUUCGCACAAGCAUACCGAUGGCACUUCUAAAACAAGGACUAGACAACAAGAACCAGAACAAAGUAGAGGCUAUAACACCUCAGACAGAAGGCGAGGGAUGUGCUGGACUGGAGUCACUGAGGUUCCCAAGCGUAGAGAUGAGCUAGAAAUAGAAGAGGAUCAAUGCUGCAGGAACGCACCUCCAGUUCGUCUCAGACACAGACGGUCGCGCUCAGCUGGGGAGAGAUGGGUAGAUCAUAAGCCACCUUCUAAUCUGCCCACUGACACAGUCAUGCAGCCACAUGUCCCUCAUGCCAUCACGGUAGCGGCUGCAAGUGAAAAGGCUCUAGCUAAGUGUGACAAGUACAUGCUGACGCACCAGGAGCUAGCCUCUGAUGGGGAGAUUGAAACAAAACUAAUUAAGGGUGAUGUUUUCAAAACCAGAGGUGGUGGACAGGCUGUGCAGUUCACAGAGAUAGAGACUCUAAAGCAAGAAUCUCCAACUGGUCGAAAGCGAAGAUCAUCACCUUCCAAUGCUGAUCCACCAGAGGAUGCUGCAGACUCUGAAUGGACUGAUGUGGAGACCAGAUGUUCUGUGGCAGUGGAAAUGAGGGCAGGAUCUGCCCUUGGACCUGGCUAUCAGCAUCACGCUCAGCCCAAAUAGGUGCUGGCAAUGCUGCGGAAGUCACCUGUUCAACUCAGGGGAAGACGAUUUGCAGUUUUGCAAGACAUGUUUACAGGGAGGAGAGAGGGCUGGAGAGGCGAAGAAAGCCAUGAACUUAACGUACUGCUGCGUUGGAAUCCUGGUGAUUUUUAUCAGACUUAUCUGCUGCCAGUGAUAAACUAACUGCUUUGUUAUCACUACAAGCUUGUAUUUUUUUUUUAUACUGGCCUAUGCUAGGCAAUGGUUAAAUGGAAAAUAAUUUUUGCAAAGCUGAAGAAGCAUAUGAGUGGGUGCAAGUACUUUCCGUGGACGGGGGGAGGUUCUACCAUUGCAUGCUGUGGACUUCUGAAGAAAUCCUUCUGUCUUGUACGUAUGAAGCCCUCGUUAUUAAGCUGUACUUUUAUAGAGUAAUGACACGAGGCUUUUGCCUUGCAUAUUUUUCAGCUCUUUGUAGAAUGUACCUGUAUUCUGGUCGCUAUCCCUUUCUUGUCAGGCCCUCUGUUUUGAAGAGGUGUAAAUGCUGCGAUGUAUUCAGAUGCAGUAAUGCACUUUAAGAGUGUUCCUAUGCCAUUUCAUAUAUUAUUAUAGCCAGCAGCAGCUUGGUAAUGUAAAUUUCUUCUUGGAAGAAUUACCUUUAAUUAUUUAAUAUACAAAUCAGCUUGUGAAAACAACUUCAAUCUCAAUCUUCUGGUCUUCAUGGUAACAAAGCAAGAAUACUGAGAUGAUGAAUAAUAAUGACUUGACAUCAUGGCUACUUUAUUUUGUAGUGCAAGUAAGUAACUAAGUGUUUUACAUCUGUAGAUAUGGGGGAAAAGGGUGAUGUGCUCACAGAUAUGGUGAGGGCCUUAUAUGUGUGGCUCUGCAAGCAUGUUAAAAUAAAUACUUUUAUUCAA